rnacentral:rRNA from 1 species
UACGUAGGGGGGCUAGCGUUGUCCGGAUUUAUUGGGCGUAAAGAGCGUGUAGGCGGCCAGGUAGGUCUGGUGUGAAAACUCGAGGCUUAACCUCGAGAUGUCAUCGGAAACCAUCUGGCUAGAGUCCGGAAGAGGAGAGUGAAUUCCUGGUGUAGCGGUGAAAUGCGCAGAUAUCAGGAAGAACACCAAUGGCGAAAGCAGCUCUCUGGGACGGUACUGACGCUGAGACGCGAAAAGCGUGGGGAGCGAACAGG